UGCGGGACCGGAUCACGCGAGCCGGCCGGGAGGCCGCAGAGACCCUAGGGGCCGGGGCAGGCGCCGGCAGGGACGCACCUGCAGGAGCUUCCAAGAUUCAUUCCACCGCCCGGAUGUGUGGCGGAUUACUACCUGCUUUGCUUCCUCCUUGAGCAAACAGCUGGAUCACACAACUUCAAGACAAAGGACUUCAAAUGUUGGGGUCGUUUUCCCCUGAAACGCUAUUCCAAAUGACGGUGAGUCGGUUCCCAGUCUAGCCCAUCAGACCUCCAACCCAGUGACAAAUGCCCCCUGCCCUCCUGUGCGGUUGCCCUGCACAUCUGCUCAGAUCCUUCCAGAGGCUCUGGGCUCACGUGGCUGCACAUGCCCCAGUUCCCUUAAAAUCUGUCCUCUCUCCUUUUCUUUGAUUCGGGCUUCCCACCAGCACUAUUUUUGCUAGAAUGGAAAUUGCUCGAGGGCAUGUCAGUGGCCCAGAAAGGGAAGUGGUCUGAGAACUUCUGAGCAAAAACAUGUUACAUUAACAUUUUUUUUUCCUUGACUCUAAUCUUAACCACUUCCCACAGUUUGGAUGGAAAUUCAGCCUACUUUGAGGCCCCUCUCACUCCUGUUGGUUGUAACAUCACCUCAGGGACUUAUGGAGUACAAGAAAAUUGGGGAGGGUCUCACAACUGGCUAUUUUUGCCCUAACAUAUCAUAUGGUACGCUUUGUACAAGACAGUUGUAAGAACUUCAUGUGUAUUAACCAAUUUAUAUCAUCUCCACCACCUGAUGAAAUAGAUACUGUUAUCCCCAUUUUACAGAUAGGGAAACUGAGGCCCAAGGUGGUCAGCUAACUGCUCAAAGCACAAAGCUACAAAGUGGGAUUUAAACCUAAAUGCUUUGGCUCCAGAGACAAGGGUCCAAAUCACUAUAUACAGCACCUCUCCUUAAAGUGUUUUGUUCCAUUGCUUUUGUGCUUUCAUACUGUGUAAAUCCUUUACCUUCAGUGAGAUACUUGUGGGAGGAGGGAAACGGGGCCCCUUAUUGCAACUUUCUGUGGUUCACAGGCCCUAGAUGCAGUCCUGCACCAUUCACAGGUUCUGCCACUUUUGGGCAUUGUAUUCCAUCAAGAUUGGGGAGCCCACCACCCACAACUAUCCACACACCACCCCUCAACUCUAGCCCUUCUCCCAGGCUUUGAAGAGCCAAGUCUCCCUGACUAUUUUUUUUUUAUUUUAUUUAAAUAUUUUUUAUACUUUCUUCUUUUAUUAGCCACGUGAUUAGGGUAUCCUUAGAGUCCCUAACUAUUGUCAGGCCACGUCCUCUUAUUGAAGCACAGCUGCCAUCCUUUCCAUCUUUCAAGCACCUGCAGCUUAAUCUCUUAAUGGCCUUGCCCCUCUCAAACAAAGGCUGUUCCCUUUCCUCAGAAUGUUUGUUUCCUACUCCCUGUGUAGUCAAUCCCCUCAUCCUAUCAGUCUCAACACAACUGUUAAUGUUCCUCAGCGCAGCUUUCUCUGGGCCCCCUCCCAGCCAGGUGAGAUGCCCAGUCCCUAGUACAGGCUCCUGUAGCACUAUGGCAGUUAUCCCAGUUGAGGUUCCAAAUAUAUGUCUAUGUGUUUGAUUAAAGAUUUUCUCCUCCUA